CAAAUCUGGAAGUCCACUAAACCUGGAUACAGGCUUGAGAAUGUAAUUGGUUUCAACCUCGGUGCAGUUAACGCUAUUGGAUACAUACAGGGAUUAACAAGGAUUGUAGUUGGAUGUGAACAAGGAAUAACAAUAAUGGAAAUAAAUUUCCCGCAAAAGGAAGGCGUCGUGCACCAGGAGAGAAACAACAAAAAAUGAUCUGGAGAGUGUGUACGACAGUACGUGGCUCCGCGAAUGUGACCUCACCUCAGAACGUCGUUCUAACAAGCUUCGGUUAUUUAAAAAAUAGUUGCAUAAUCCAUAAUGUUUAUAUUUAGGACAUCGCUAACUGGUGAUUGCUAUGGUAUAUUUUUAGGGAUAGAUACAAACGCUUCUUCAUCAUCCUCUUUUCCCCGCAUGCACAUGCAUGCAUGCAUUAGGAUAAAAGUUGAUGUCAUUCUAGAUUCUUU